rnacentral:lncRNA from 1 species
AUGGUGGAGGAGAUGAUCUGAGCGACGAUGUCCUUGUUGGUGAAGCGGACGACGAAGCGGUACUUGGGGGUGUUGUACUUGUUCUUGUCCUGGUUGAUGAGACGGAUGCGGGCGCGGUAGUCGGUCUUGCCCUCACGGCGGCGCUUGUAUUUGACCUGGAAGCGCUUGAAGUAGGCGCGGGGCUUGGAGGCCUUGAUGAACGCCAUUGCUGCUCUGCAGAGAGAGAGAGUAGGCAGGCGGCGCUGAGAAGAAGAGAGAGUGAGGGAUGAGGGGAAAAUGUGUUAGGGUUUUCUCUCUUUUUAU